UACGUAGGGUGCGAGCGUUUAAUCGGAAUUACUGGGCGUAAAGCGUGCGCAGGCGGUCUGUUAAGACCGAUGUGAAAUCCCCGGGCUUAACCUGGGAACUGCAUUGGUGACUGGCAGGCUUUGAGUGUGGCAGAGGGAGGUAGAAUUCCACGUGUAGCGGUGAAAUGCGUAGAGAUGCGGAGGAACACCGAUGGCGAAGGCAGCCCCCCUGGGCUAACACUGACGCUCAGGCACGAAAGCGUGGGGAGCAAACAGG
rnacentral:rRNA from 1 species